GGUUCCCAUUCCGAACACCGUAGUUAAGUCCGAUAGAGCCGAUGAUACUGGGGUUCGACCCUGGGAAAGUAGGUCACUGCCAGAG
rnacentral:rRNA from 1 species